AGUGAACGCUGGCGGUAGGCCUAACACAUGCAAGUCGAACGGCAGCACAGUAAGAGCUUGCUCUUACGGGUGGCGAGUGGCGGACGGGUGAGGAAUACAUCGGAAUCUACUUUUUCGUGGGGGAUAGCGUAGGGAAACUUACGCUCAUACCGCAUACGACCUACGGGUGAAAGCAGGGGAUCUUCGGACCUUGCGCGAUUGAAUGAGCCGAUGUCGGAUUAGCUAGUUGGCGGGGUAAAGGCCCACCAAGGCGACGAUCCGUAGCUGGUCUGAGAGGAUGAUCAGCCACACUGGAACGGAGACACGGUCCAGACUCCUACGGGAGGCAGCAGUGGGGAAUAUUGGACAAUGGGCGCAGGCCUGAUCCAGCCAUACCGCGUGGGUGAAGAAGGCCUUCGGGUUGUAAAGCCCUUUUGUUGGGAAAGAAAAGCAGCAGGUUAAUACCCCGCUGUUCUGACGGUACCCAAAGAAUAAGCACCGGCUAACUUCGUG
rnacentral:rRNA from 1 species